UUACAUAAUCAAAAAUGAAACUGCGAAAUAUAGCCAUGAUCUUCUAGGCAUUUUACAUAUCUCUCUAUCAUGUUAUGAACCUUGUUGGGUAAGUCGAUAUUGUAUAUAGUAUUUAAUGUUUAGGAGUCCAGUGUAUUUCACACACAGUUAUUUCUCAUACAUUAAUAAAGACUACAAAUAGAACAAGGUGCGUGUUUUUCUUGUUGUAUAACAAUAAAUCUUCAACUGACGCUUGGACAUCAAACAUUGAUUGUUUUCUCUAACAGAACUGGAGUAAUACUUCAAAAACAAACUACCGAGAGAAACCAAGUUGAGGAAGUAUAUGAAAUGGAUCCAAAAAUGGUAGUAUAGUGAAACAUCUUUGCUGCCUUACUGAUGAUUCCGUCAGUGUUCCUAGAAGGAUACACCACAAUUCUCUGAGAGAGAGAGCAACUUCGAAAUCGUCUGACAACGCCUCGCCAAAUUACAUUGACGCAGACUAAAGUUAUUGGAAAAAGUCGGUUCAUUAAAAAAAUCACAGCUGGCAUCAAAAAGUUGCGACAUCAGAUUGAACUAUCCUGUCAAACCUUCAAAAUACAACUAGGUCUUAUCAAAUGAGUACGUAAUUCCUUCAUGCGAUGAUAUACUUCUACAUUGAAA